rnacentral:rRNA from 1 species
GAUGAACGCUGACGGCGUGCCUAAUACAUGCAAGUCGAGCGAACGGACGAGAAGCUUGCUUCUCUGAUGUUAGCGGCGGACGGGUGAGUAACACGUGGAUAACCUACCCAUAAGACUGGGAUAACUUCGGGAAACCGGAGCUAAUACCGGAUAAUAUUUUGAACCGCAUGGUUCAAAAGUGAAAGACGGUCUUGCUGUCACUUAUAGAUGGAUCCGCGCUGCAUUAGCUAGUUGGUAAGGUAACGGCUUACCAAGGCAACGAUGCAUAGCCGACCUGAGAGGGUGAUCGGCCACACUGGAACUGAGACACGGUCCAGACUCCUACGGGAGGCAGCAGUAGGGAAUCUUCCGCAAUGGGCGAAAGCCUGACGGAGCAACGCCGCGUGAGUGAUGAAGGUCUUCGGAUCGUAAAACUCUGUUAUUAGGGAAGAACAUAUGUGUAAGUAACUGUGCACAUCUUGACGGUACCUAAUCAGAAAGCCACGGCUAACUACGUG